rnacentral:lncRNA from 1 species
AUAAAAUUAAUUUGUAUAUUAAAUGACACUCUAAACUCAAUUGAUUUUGUCAUUGCAGAUCCACAGAGAGACAGAGACGUUUUAUCCAGUUAAUGCCAGUCGAGAUGCUGGACUUGAGGAGAAAAAAUCCACUUCAGUGAUUUCAGGUAACCAAAUCAGUGCUUCUAUACUGGUUUUGCUUCAAAACCCUCAUUUUGCAUUGGAAUAUCAAGUGGCAACCCAAAUGUUAGUGGUUUUUGAGGAUGUCCAUGUGGGCAUCUACGUAAUUUGUCUAAAGUGAUGCAUGAAUUUACACUGAAGUACCACAGAAUUUGAUGUACGGCAUUUGACGUCAACAACACAACGUUGCAUCACGUCGGUCUAGUUGUUGGUUAAAAGUUACAUCCAGAACAAAACACAAACCUCUUUUAUACAUCUUCCAGCACUCUACAAAGAAAGGAUGCUCUCUUUGCUCAGACUGUUUCUGUGUGUGUCCAAUCUAAAUAGUGCCCACAUUGUGUCCAAUGGCAUACACAUCCUCCAAAGACUAAAUUAAUGUCUUCCUGUCAAUACAAAAGACUCCACUAGUCAAAUAAGAUCAUCUAUUUAAGUAGAUGACAUCAACAUCCUGUCUGCGACGAUUGCGAGCAGAGAUGCAACAAAAUGGAUUGAAAUGAGUCACUUGCAGACUCACUGUAUAAUGAUUCAGUUCAUGAGAGUCGAGUCUGGUCUGUUUUCUUUUCUAUUUAUUAUUCUUCUCUUGCUCUUAAGCUCUCUAAUUUUUUUUUAAUUCUUUUUUUUUUUCUCAGAAUUCCCCCCUUUGACCCCCUCACCCGAGAGUGUACGUCACAAAGACUCGGCGAGCACCAUGCGAGGGUCCGCCAGCGAUGGCGACUCUCUGUUUAGUCAGGACUUGGGCGAGGACAGUGUUUUUAAUAAUAAGGCUGAAGACAGCGUCACAAUCACCAGCGGUGUGUCCAUGUCCUACUCGUCCUCCACAGAUGACACCUCCAGCCUCGGGACCCCUAGUGCCAUCUCUCAGGCCAGCACAGAAGCUCCUACAUCAGACCCCUGUCAGGAAAAGCCCACAUCUCCUGGAGCAUCAGGAGAAACAGAGGAGGAAGAGAAAAAGGACUGCUUGACAGAGGUCCCGGAGCGGUCGGCCAUUAUACGCACCUCCAUACGGUCCCUGUCCCCUUUCCGCAGGCACAGUUGGGGCCCAGGCAAAAAUUCAGCGGGGGAGAGUGAGAUUAGUCAACGCAGGUAAUCUCUACCUCUAAAAAUGAAGGUUUUAGGGAUUGAAUCCAAAGCAUACAAAAACAAGCCUAAACUGGUUGGCUGGUUUUAACUGGUCUUCAAGCCUGGUCAUAGCUGGUUUGGUUUUUGGGAUUUGGACCACUUCUUUAGCUGAUCAGGCUGGAAAACCAGCUGAACACCAGCUUUCCCAGGUUGGGAGACCAGUGUGGCCAGUUUAAACCUGCAAAGACCAGCCAACCUGCAUAUGCUAGUUUAGCUGUUCUUUUCAGCAGGGAGUCCAGUGUGGUGAAAAAUUUGAAAAUCCUGUACCCCUUUAAACACUGAAAGGUAGCCUUCAGAAUGACUGUUCAAAAACAUUAAUUGACUAGAGCUAUGCUAAGCUACCAGGCUAAUCAAAUAGCUAUAUGUUGAGAUAGCGCGCUACCGUGUUCAAAAACAUAUCCUGGUAUCCUUUUUUAGAUAACUAAAAUAUAGCAUUUAAAGUUUUUUUUUCUCUAGUUUAAGAGCUAAGAUAGCAUGCUAAUUGACUAGUGGUAUGCUAAGCUACCAGACUAAGGCUUUUUCUCAAUUCCAAGAACGCAAAGAACGGACUUGCGUUCUCGUGGAGACCGGUCUUGCCAAGCUUCUUUGGAAGAACGAACUCGAAAGGACGCAAGGACACAGAGAUGUGCUGUGUUCUUGCUUAACUGACCGCAUAAUCACAGCAUAAGCAGCGGCCAAUGAACCAUAAAUAUAACAUAACAUUACAAACAAAUGUCAUGACUUAUUAAACCAUUGCAUACUAUUAUAGAUAUUAUUUACAUAUAAUUGUAUAUUGUUUUAUUUUUAUGCCAAUAAAAAUACUGCAGACUUUCUCCGGGUCUUAUAACUUUAUUAAAAUUAAGCAAAACAAAACAAUAAAUGUUUACUUUCAAGAGCCAUCAAGUAUUUGCGAGUGCGAGUUUAUAACUUGCAGGCUUCCGUACACCGGCCGCCCGCAGUGUCUUCUGGGAUUUCUAACGGCUCGAUUCUCUGAAGUCUGCACUCGAUGCAUCCUCAAUAUCAAGAACACAUCCGGGCACUUUCAUGCGUCCUCUGUACUUGCGUUCUUGAGAAUUGGAAUUGAACUUCGAUGGUUAAUGAUGACGUAGAACGAGAACACAAGGAUGCAAGAUCGCUGAAGAACGCAUAUUGAGAAACGGCCUAAUUAUUUAACAAUAUGCUAAGAUAGCAGGCUAAUGUUAUUUAAUAUGUGGAAUUAAAUAUCACAUUAUAUGUUAUGAAUAAG